AAACUACCCUUCACGGGCAACGGUAGCAAGUUUCACUCCCUACAGGGUAUUGUCCAAGUACCUGAAAUAAUCGGAUGACCACCACCCACCAAAGAGACACUGUGUCCAGGCUUUGAGACAAAACAGCAAAUUAUCUUAUGUUUAAAGGACUAUUGCACAAGUUGUAGAUGCUACAUUUACCAAGAAGAAAACAAAAAGAGGGAGGAUGGCAAUGGGAAGAUGAUGGCAGCAAGUAGAGAUAACAGAGUCUGUGUGCCUGAUGCUGGGAUGUUCAGAGGACCACAGCAGCAGUGCACCUGCGCUUAACGAAAACCAGUAGAAGGCGGCAUUUUGAAAGUCAGCAACAGAAACAUAAAACAGCUGGGUUGCCCUU